rnacentral:rRNA from 1 species
AGAGGAAGUAAAAGUCGUAACAAGGUUUCCGUAGGUGAACCUGCGGAAGGAUCAUUAACGAGUUUUUGAAAGGGGUUGUCGCUGGCCGAAACCUAAGGCAUGUGCACACCCUGCUCAAUCCACUCUCAAACCCCUGUGCACUUACUGUAGGCUAUGGUGGGAUAGCUGGCUUUGGUCAGUUUGAAAGCCUUGCCUAUGUUAUUACAAACGCUUCAGUUAAAGAAUGUUAUACCGCGUUUAACGCAUUAUAUACAACUUUUAGCAACGGAUCUCUUGGCUCUCGCAUCGAUGAAGAACGCAGCGAAAUGCGAUAAGUAAUGUGAAUUGCAGAAUUCAGUGAAUCAUCGAAUCUUUGAACGCACCUUGCGCUCCUUGGUAUUCCGAGGAGCAUGCCUGUUUGAGUGUCAUGGAAUUAUCAACUUCUGAAACUUUUGUGACAGAAGCUUGGACUUGGAGGUCGUGUCGGCUUGCAAAAGUCGACUCCUCUGAAAUGUAUUAGCGUGAACCUUACGGAUCGCCUUCAGUGUGAUAAUUAUCUGCGCUGUGGCGUGAAGUAUCUUAUUGCUCUCGCUUCUAACCGUCCGCAAGGACAAUUAAUUGACAAUCUGACCUCAAAUCAGGUAGGACUACCCGCUGAACUUAAGCAUAU